AAAUGGUGGGUUAACAGAGGGAAGCAAGACCGCGAGGUGGAGCAAAUCCCUAAAAGCCAUCCCAGUUCGGAUUGCAGGCUGCAACCCGCCUGUAUGAAGUUGGAAUCGCUAGUAAUCGCGGAUCAGCAUGCCGCGGUGAAUACGUUCCCGGGCCUUGUACACACCGCCCGUCACACCAUGAGAGUCGGGAACACCCGAAGUCCGUAGCCUAACCGCAAGGGGGGCGCGGCCGAAGGUGGGUUCGAUAAUUGGGGUGAAGUCGUAACAAGGUAUC
rnacentral:rRNA from 1 species